GAUGAACGCUGGCGGCGUGCUUAACACAUGCAAGUCGAACGGAAAGGCUCCUGCUUGCAGGGGUACUCGAGUGGCGAACGGGUGAGUAACACGUGGGUGAUCUGCCCUGCACUUCGGGAUAAGCCUGGGAAACUGGGUCUAAUACCGGAUAGGACGAUGGUUUGGAUGCCAUUGUGGAAAGUUUUUCGGUGUGGGAUGAGCUCGCGGCCUAUCAGCCUGUUGGUGGGGUAAUGGCCUACCAAGGCGUCGACGGGUAGCCGGCCUGAGAGGGUGUACGGCCACCUUGGGGCUGGGUUACGGCCCGCACUGCUACGGGAGGCAGCAGUGGGGAAUAUUGCAGAAUUGGCGCAAGCCUGAUGCAGCGACGCCGCGUUGGGGAUGACGGCCGUCGGGUUGUAAACUCCUUUCGCUAGUGACGAAGCGCGAGUGACGGUACCUGGUGAAGAAGCACCGGCUAACUACGUG
rnacentral:rRNA from 1 species